UUGUGUAGAAAAGGCUAAAUUUGUGAUACUCUUACAUUCUAGCCUUCUAAACAAUAAUUAUGGAAUAUAUAUGGUCUUUAUUUGCCUUUUUUGCUGGAUAUGUUGUUUUUGAAUUAUAUGAGUUCAAUAAUAGAUUUAAGUUACACGAGCACAAUUUCAACGAACUCCAAAGCCAAGGGAACAUUUUGAAAAAUGAAAAUGAAGUAUUACGACUGGAAAUAAACCGCUUGCAACAUCAACUGUAGCUAAACAAAGUUAAAACUGGAAUUCUAAAUACUGAUUUAAAGAGCAGGGAUGAUUUUUUGAAGGACAUCGACAAAGGAGCAAGAUUAUUCCAUGAAGAGUUAAAGAACACAGUGAAACAAAUGGACAAAUUUGUAGAGCAAGUGAAAAUUAUGGACAAACAAAUAGAGGAUAUGAGUAGAGAAUUCAAAUUUGUGUACAGGGAACUUAAUAUUUUAGGCAGGGCGACAAAUAUCAACAGAGACCACGGAUGCACGCGCAGUGAUUACAAGGGCGGCAGUGAUGUACUAAACACUAUCAAGAGUGGUGUUGACUUCAUCAUUAGAAAACUUGUUGAAUAUGUUUCAGUAGGAUUAACAUCUAUACUUUUGCUCGAGUGAAGAGAAUAUAUAUGAGUGAAAAAAAUAUACUUAACAAACGUAAGAGCAUUCAAUGAUAAAAGAUAUUGGAAAAUAUCAAACUUUAAAGCCAAAAUAUUUGGUUAUUUUUCUUAAAUAACAGUUUAUGGCCUAAAAUAUAUCUAAAAUUUUUGACGCAGAUCUGUUUAGAUCGGGUAAUUUGUUGAUCACCCAGCUUUAUUAUGUUUCAAAUUUUAAAAAUUGAAAAUUUUAAAAGAAUUUAUACUCUCUAAAAUAUUGAUUUUCAAUGUUUUAAAAUUGUCUCUAGUCAGGUUUUAAUAGAUUAUUAUCAGACUUUUAUUGCAAGAGUUAAUUUCAUGCAUCAUGCUAUAUAAAAUGUUUAGUUUUCUUUUUAAAGCCAUCUUCUUCUCUUAUUUUUCAUCUUUUCCUCCUUUUACUGACUCAAAAUAUGAUGACGCACCUUUAUUUUCCGACGAUUGUUACACAAAGUUCUUCAAAGUUGUCCCGUUUGCCAUUGAUUGCUGUAUAAGUAAUAAAAUCAUGUCAAUA